rnacentral:lncRNA from 10 species
AGAGGACCUCAUUCCAGUCUGCUCUUGGCCAUGCAAUGGACUAUGCUCUAUGAAUUGGCAGAUUGGCUCCCUAUGGACAGCAAGAACAGAGGCAGAUGCUGCAGCCAUCACUCCAGGAUGGAAUGCAGAUAUGCUGACUGGAGCAGGAGCAGCCAUAUUGCAUUAUAAGGUAAAUUUAGGAAUGGAGACAUGUUUUUCAGAGCAAAGGAGGAAAGGUUCAAGACAGAAGAAGCAUUUGUGGUUAUUGAUAUCAUAAAGCAUCACUUCAGCAGCCUUAGACUGCUGACUUAGAAUUUGAUGAGAAAAAUUAACUUCUACUUUCUUUAAACUCAUUUUUUUGACGUUUCUGUCACUCACAAUCAAAUCUAAUCACAACAAUCUAAGAGACACGGAUUGAUAUUUAAGAUGGAUUUACUUGUCCUAAAACUGUUCUUUCUUCAUCAGACUUCAGAGAAAAAUGCAACGUCUCAUUGCAGACACAAAGGAGACUUCCUAAUAAGUCAGCAUGACUCACGAACUUCUUCAGAACCUUGUUUCAAUGGCAUCCUUCGUUUUAGUCUAACUUUUCCCUCACAGACAACCCAGAAAUCUAAAGAUCAGCCAAAGCCCACAUAAACCCAAUGCAAUUAAGGUAUGAAGUCAUGGUUUUCAUUAAAAUAAGAUUUCAGGCAGG